GGUGCUAAAUAUUGAUUAUUAAUGAUCUUUUAUUGAUAUCUUGAUGUCUAAUAUCUGGUUACGUAUUUAUUCAUACUUAAGCUCAUGAGAAUGGUCAUUAUUAGUUUACAUUCAUCUUAGUUCUGCCCUUGCGAUGUCUCUUUCCUUCUUUCCAGUUUACAGUAUGUGUCUUACAUUAUUUGGUACAGCUAUUAUCAUAUUGUCCUGUUUUUAUGCCAAGAACCAUGAAAUUGAGUGUAUAUAUCAUAUUAUUCUGGUAACAUUUUGCCUUAUUUUCUAAUACAAAUUAUAACGCAAAGUUAUUCUGCACUUAGGACAUAACUUGGGAUCAGCUUGCGCAUGAUGCACCUUUCUAUGCAAUCUGUUGAAAAACCUUUGAACCAACUAGAAGAACACUUUUAGGUAAGAUGGGUGAGGAACCCAACAUGGUUAGUGUUAUUGGGGCAAAUUUAUCCGCAGAUUUUGUUGCGAGAACUCUUACUACAGGUCCACUGGAUGUUGCAAAGACCAGAAGGCAAAUAGAUGUUUGUUUUUGAACUAAGUAUAUGGGGUUAAGAAGUUGAUAGGUGGUUGCUGAGGAAAUUGGUUUCACCAGGGAUGAGAUGAUUAGCAGCUAGGGAUUCAAAUUUUUUGAAUACUCAUGAAGUUGGUGGGCAUGAAAAGUUGCAAAGUGCAUGUGGGAGUUGUUCUGAAGUGUCCAAAGCAGGCUGAUCAAGAAUAACAAUAGUAAAGCCGGUCUUUAGUGAAAGUUGUGAGAAUUGUCUUUGUUUCUUUGCUCUGGUAGUAUGCUCUAAGAAGCAGGACCUCUGGUAUUUUUACAUAGAUUAAAUUGUACUUUCAUAUUGGGGUUACUUUAAUCUAAGGUGAUUACAAGCAAAAAAUUCUCAGUGGUGUGUCAGGCAAUGAAAAUAUGUAUACUUUCUAACUAAUUAAAGUGAAUACUUUCGCAUUA